CAACCUGCCGAUAACUCAGGGAUAGCCUUUCGAAAGAAAGAUUAAUACCUGACGGCAUAGGAUUAUCGCAUGAUAAUCCUAUUAAAGAACUUCGGUUAUCGAUGGGGAUGCGUUCCAUUAGGCAGUUGGUGAGGUAACGGCUCACCAAACCUUCGAUGGAUAGGGGUUCUGAGAGGAAGGUCCCCCAUAUUGGAACUGAGACACGGUCCAAACUCCUACGGGAGGCAGCAGUGAGGAAUAUUGGUCAAUGGACGGGAGUCUGAACCAGCCAAGUAGCGUGAAGGAUGACUGCCCUAUGGGUUGUAAACUUCUUUUAUACGGGAAUAAAGUGAUCCACGUGUGGGUUUUUGUAUGUACCGUAUGAAUAAGGAUCGGCUAACUCCGUGCCAGCAGCCGCGGUAAUACGGAGGAUCCGAGCGUUAUCCGGAUUUAUUGGGUUUAAAGGGAGCGUAGGUGGAUUGUUAAGUCAGUUGUGAAAGUUUGCGGCUCAACCGUAAAAUUGCAGUUGGUACUGGCAGUCUUGAGUACAGUAGAGGUGGGCGGAAUUCGUGGUGUAGCGGUGAAAUGCUUAGAUAUCACGAAGAACUCCGAUUG
rnacentral:rRNA from 1 species